CCUACGGGAGGCAGCAGUAGGGAAUCUUUCACAAUGGGCGAAAGCCUGAUGGAGCAACGCCGCGUGCAGGAUGAAGGCCUUCGGGUUGUAAACUUCUGUUAUAAGAGAGAAAUAUGAUGGUAACUUAUGAAUAAGGAUCGGCUAACUACGUGCCAGCAGCCGCGGUCAUACGUAGGUUCCGAGCAUUAUCCGGGGUGACUGGGUGUAAAGAGUUGCGGAGGUGGUUUAAUAAGUAGCUAGUGAAAUCCGGUGGCUCAACCAUUCAGACUAUUAGCGAAACUGUUAAGCUCGAGACCGUUAGGGGUAAGUGGAAUUUCUGGUGUAGCGGUGAAAUGCGUAGAUAUUAGGAGGAACACCAAUGGCGUAGGCAGGUCUCUGGGACGGUUCUGACACUGAGGCACGAAAGCGUAGGGAGCAAACGGGAUUAGAUACCCCAGUAGUC
rnacentral:rRNA from 1 species